GUCCCUGUUGAUUAGUGGUUAGAUCAUCACGUUGUGGUCGGUUUAGAUGGACUUAGCGACCGUGAAGACACAGGCUCGACUCCUGCCAGGGACA